rnacentral:rRNA from 1 species
GAUGAACGCUAGCGGGAGGCUUAACACAUGCAAGUCGAGGGGCAGCAUAGGGUAGCAAUACUCUGAUGGCGACCGGCAAACGGGUGAGUAACGCGUAUGCAACCUACCCUGUACAGGGGGAUAACCCGGAGAAAUUCGGACUAAUAUCCCGUAAUAAUAUCCGGAGGCAUCUUUGGAUAUUUAAAGUUCCGACGGUACGGGAUGGGCAUGCGUAACAUUAGCUGGUUGGUAAGGUAACGGCUUACCAAGGCUAUGAUGUUUAGGGGUCCUGAGAGGGUGGUCCCCCACACUGGUACUGAGACACGGACCAGACUCCUACGGGAGGCAGCAGUGAGGAAUAUUGGUCAAUGGGCGCAAGCCUGAACCAGCCCAUCCCGCGUGCAGGAAGACGGCCCUAUGGGUUGUAAACUGCUUUUCCAGGGAGAGAAACUUACGCACGUGUUGCGUGACUGACGGUACCCUGGGAAUAAGCAUCGGCUAACUCCGUGCCAGCAGCCGCGGUAAUCA